UACGAAGGGUGCAAACGUUGCUCGGAAUUCAUUGGGCGUAAAGCGCACGUAGGCGGUUCGGACUGAUGGUGAGAACCGCCUCGGCUUAACCAAGGAAGUGCAUCCAAAACUACAGAGCUUGAGUACUUAAGAGGAUCGCGGAAUUCCCGGUGUAGAGGUGAAAUUCGUAGAUAUCGGGAGGAACACCAGUGGCGAAGGCGGCGAUCUGGGAAGAUACUGACGCUGAGGUGCGAAAGCGUGGGGAGCAAACAGG
rnacentral:rRNA from 1 species